CUAAUACAGUGUAUCUUUCCCAUGCGUCAUCAAGUCUAAUAUAUCAUGGCCCUUGUCAACAGCAUACUCCAAUUCUUUGGACAACCAAACCAAUGCUAAGUCAUUGUCUUUCAUUUCACGCUUUGUCUUAUUCCUUGAUCUUUUAGAUGCAUUGAAGCAUGAUAAAUGGUACUUGGCUUCAGCGGCUAUCAAAUCUGAGAUACCCGCAAAUCGAAUGCACAGUAUUUUGUCAAACUUAGAAAUCUCAAUAAUUUGUUCACUCAUCUUAAAUGUCAUAACUGACGAUAAGCGCUCAUUCGUAUGAACCUG